CGAAAUGCUGCCGCCAGAUCCUGGAAAAGAGGCUGUGGUUCACCGCGGGCAGCGCGACGGUUGCUCAGAAAUCACCAAAUGUUUGAGGAAGAACAGGAAACUCCACUGCUGUCGACGUUGUCCGUGGGCAAGAGGAGAAGCCCGGACAGCUCUACUUUGCGACCUCCCGAGGUACUGCUGAAAAUGUAUGCUUUGUCUUUCUUUCCCGCUGCAAAAAAACUCGAAACUUAACUUUUACUAGCUCAUCAACAGUUCUUGUAAGGCCAUGAAAAUGUCUACUUGAGCUUAGUCAUUCGUGCUUUUACUUUCGAGCAGGUUGCCCUGUAGCAUAUAUAUGGGUAUUUAUAUAAAACACGGCAGCCCUGUUUAUGCACAAAAUUGUACUACUUCCUUUGAGAACUUGUGAUAAAUUAGUGAACACAUGCUUAAGCCUGGUCCCAGUCCUAAACAGCUUCUCUUGUAGUUUCAUCAUGGCCUGAAGCCCAACCAGCAAGAACAUACCGAAAGAAAGGCUUCAAAGGACGUAUUGCACACAAAAUUUCGACCUUGUUUGAACCGUUGAAAACAUGUAAGAGAGUGUGCUUCAGGCAUCUAUUGCGGAAAUGCUGUUGGGAGCUUUCUGUACAACACGCAGGGUGCCUACUUGUUACUGGUUAAGUAGUAACCCUUUAUAGAACCCAUUUUCUAUAUUCUGUUUUAAUUUAUUUGCUGUGGGUGUCCAGAAACGACGAUGGUUUCCCUUAAGUUAGUCGCAAGUGAAUCUCGAAUAUGAUCAGUGUACCAACAGAAACUAAAGCCGUUAGGGUGUUCCAGUAGAUGCUUCAUCAACCGCGCAGUUCAACUCGCGAAUCCAGAAAGCAGCCGGAUAUAUACUGAGCGCUAAUGCGGGUUAAGAGGAACAUUUACCAAUGCAGUUGCUAAGCGCAUGGGGUUGGGAUCACUUUCUUUGGGUUUAACUAAAUGAACCUAUAUUGAGCUUGUUGCGUUAAAUAAAUAAAUACCAAUGUGUAGACUGUGAAAAGACAUUUGAUGGGCGCUAUCAUUUCGUUUCUGCAAAAAACUGCCGAAGUUCGAAAAAAUUUUGACUGUACUAUACAGCUCUGUUGUACAUAUAGCUACGACCUAUAUUAAAACAUAAUGCUACAAUUCUUCAAGCAGUUAUUUGGUACGUCACAAGAGCCUAAAAUCGACAUUGGGUGCGAGUACAUAUGGUGGCACCACCCCGUGAGAGUGCCCUCUUUCCGGGUCAUUUUUGUAAAUGCCUUAUGAAAGAGGCAAUUUCACCACUGCCAUAUAAAGGUUCUAGGCGAACUGAAAACAGAGAAUGCGUCAGAAAUGCUGUCUCCUCAUACCGUACAAUGCAGGGCUACCAUGUGCUGCUGUUUUAUUCACUUCCGCCAAGCCGGCUUGCGUUGAAGGAGCAGUCGCCGACGUAACUCUGUGCCAAAUAUUUUUGUGUUGUGCUGCUGCCUGUACAGGCGAAGCCAACGACGACUCAGUGCGGUGGCCACACGGAUUCGGAGUCACAGACUUUGCGUGUGCAUAUAGUACGUCAGCGCGCGAUCUUUUGAUUUAGCUGUGAUUGACACCACCUGUGUGUUCGCUUUUUUCUUCAUUGUUUGUUAUACUGUUUUUGUUUAAA